GAGGCCCAGGAGGAAGGGAGGAUGGAGGAGGCUCGGACAGGCCUGGAAAUGUCCUGGAGCUGAGAAAGAAAGACAGUUGGCUGAGCUCUGCUCUGCUUGGCAGGGAAGGCCCCAGAAGCAUGAGGGGCAGGUGCUGGCCUCUGGACCCUCCUUCUAAGUGGCACUUCCAGUGGAGCAGGGACUCUGGCCUACCUGCCAUGCUGCCCUGGCACGUAUGGCCGUGGAGCACAGUUAUGACAACUGAAACCCAGGAGGUCUGCUCGAUGUCUCAAGCCUAAGCAGGGAAGGGCAGAUGUGGCCCAUGGUCCCACCUGGUGUUGGCAGCACAACCCAAGCCAGAGGCCUCAGGGCUGCCAGCCUGGGGCUCUUUCCCAGCGCCACAGUCUGGGGUUGAAGGGCUGGGGGCUCAUGCCCCAGCUCCAUCUGCACUUGUUCAGAUCAGGACACAGGUUCAGAGACAUCAUCAACUUGCCCAAAGUCACACAGCUUGUCCGUGGUGGAGGCAGAAUUCAAACCUAAGACCCUCCGUCUCUCAUACCUGCGCUCUUUCCUCUCAAUAAAUAUGCACAUGCGUGUCUCUCUGCUCUUGGCUCCUGCCCUGGUGCCAUUGCCGUACCCCACGACCACCAUCCCUCCUCGUCUGCGCUCCCCCUCUCCAUCGCAGGAGCUAUGGAAGCUGUGGAAGCUUCUUCCCUCAGCAGCUGUGGAAGGGGGGCUUGGUUUUGAAACCUCUCCCCUUUGCCUAGAACUUGGCUUUAUGUUGUCCUUGUGGAUGCCGGGUGGCAUUUGGAGACGGUCUGGCAAACAUGGCCCAGAAUUCUGUUAGCCCUUCGUCUGAGCAAACAGCCACAAGGAGAAAAGCAAGUAAAACAACAAAACAAACCAUACAAAGAUGUGGAUCGCAGCAUCGUGUAUGGUGGGGAAGAGCUGCAUUCAUCCUGGCGCUGCAGGGGAAGGGGCCGCUGGCAGAGCUGUCAGAGGGCUGGCUUCACCGGAGG